rnacentral:rRNA from 1 species
GACGAACGCUGGCGGCGUGCUUAACACAUGCAAGUCGAACGGAAAGGCCCUGCUUUUGUGGGGUGCUCGAGUGGCGAACGGGUGAGUAACACGUGAGUAACCUGCCCUUGACUUUGGGAUAACUUCAGGAAACUGGGGCUAAUACCGGAUAGGAGCUCCUGCUGCAUGGUGGGGGUUGGAAAGUUUCGGCGGUUGGGGAUGGACUCGCGGCUUAUCAGCUUGUUGGUGGGGUAGUGGCUUACCAAGGCUUUGACGGGUAGCCGGCCUGGGAGGGUGACCGGCCACAUUGGGACUGAGAUACGGCCCAGACUCCUACGGGAGGCAGCGGUGGGGAAUAUUGCACAAUGGGCGGAAGCCUGAUGCAGCAACGCCGCGUGCGGGAUGACGGCCUUCGGGUUGUAAACCGCUUUCGCCUGUGACGAAGCGUGAGUGACGGUAAUGGGUAAAGAAGCACCGGCUAACUACGUG